CUAGGUCUGAUACCACAACUUAUAGGGGUUGCUCCAGAAAAGGCCAUUAAACUGACUGUUAAUGAUUUUGUUCGGGACAAAUUUACCAGAAGAGAUGGCUCUGUUCCACUUCCAGCAGAAGUUCUUGCUGGAGGCUGUGUAAGUAUUACUGUUAGGCGCUUCUUGUGACAAAUACAUUCCGUUGACCUUUUUGCACAGAUAUAAUAGAUAUCUUAGUGGCAUUUCUCUUGAACUCAAGGGAUUCUAAGCAGGUUUUCUCAAUAAUCAUAUGGAAUAAGUUUUAAAUUUUAUUGUAAAAGCUAACGGGUUUUGAGUGUAG
rnacentral:lncRNA from 1 species